AACGAACGCUGGCGGCAUGCCUAACACAUGCAAGUCGAACGAGAUCUUCGGAUCUAGUGGCGCACGGGUGCGUAACGCGUGGGAAUCUGCCCUUUGGUUCGGAAUAACAGUUGGAAACGACUGCUAAUACCGGAUGAUGACGAAAGUCCAAAGAUUUAUCGCCAGAGGAUGAGCCCGCGUAGGAUUAGCUAGUUGGUGUGGUAAAGGCGCACCAAGGCGACGAUCCUUAGCUGGUCUGAGAGGAUGAUCAGCCACACUGGGACUGAGACACGGCCCAGACUCCUACGGGAGGCAGCAGUGGGGAAUAUUGGACAAUGGGCGAAAGCCUGAUCCAGCAAUGCCGCGUGAGCGAUGAAGGCCUUAGGGUUGUAAAGCUCUUUUACCCGGGAUGAUAAUGACAGUACCGGGAGAAUAAGCUCCGGCUAACUCCGUGCCAGCAGCCGCCGUAA
rnacentral:rRNA from 1 species